rnacentral:rRNA from 1 species
GUAGGUGGCAAGCGUUGUCCGGAAUUAUUGGGCGUAAAGCGCGCGCAGGCGGUUCUUUAAGUCUGAUGUGAAAGCCCACGGCUCAACCGUGGAGGGUCAUUGGAAACUGGAGAACUUGAGUACAGAAGAGGAAAGCGGAAUUCCACGUGUAGCGGUGAAAUGCGUAGAGAUGUGGAGGAACACCAGUGGCGAAGGCGGCUUUCUGGUCUGUAACUGACGCUGAGGCGCGAAAGCGUGGGGAGCAAACAGGGAUUAGAUACCCUGGUAGUCCACGCCGUAAACGAUGAGUGCUAAGUGUUAGGGGGUUUCCGCCCCCUUAGUGCUGCAGCUAACGCAUUAAGCACUCCGCCCCGGGGAGUACGGCCGCAAGGCUG